rnacentral:rRNA from 1 species
GAUGAACGCUGGCGGCGUGCCUAAUACAUGCAAGUCGAGCGAACGGACGAGAAGCUUGCUUCUCUGAUGUUAGCGGCGGACGGGUGAGUAACACGUGGAUAACCUACCUAUAAGACUGGGAUAACUUCGGGAAACCGGAGCUAAUACCGGAUAAUAUUUUGAAACGAAUGGUUCAAAAGUGAAAGACGGUCUUGCUGUCACUUAUAGAUGGAUCCGCGCUGCAUUAGCUAGUUGGUAAGGUAACGGCUUACCAAGGCAACGAUGCAUAGCCGACCUGAGAGGGUGAUCGGCCACACUGGAACUGAGACACGGUCCAGACUCCUACGGGAGGCAGCAGUAGGGAAUCUUCCGCAAUGGGCGAAAGCCUGACGGAGCAACGCCGCGUGAGUGAUGAAGGUCUUCGGAUCGUAAAACUCUGUUAUUAGGGAAGAACAUAUGUGUAAGUAACUGUGCACAUCUUGACGGUACCUAAUCAGAAAGCCACGGCUAACUACGUG